rnacentral:ncRNA from 18 species
UCGUAGGCUGGUCGGGCCAGUCACGCUCCCUCGUGGAGUCAGGGAAUCCGGUGAGAGGCCGGAACUGACGCGCAGCGGUGUGGGGGACGGGCGCGGCGACAUGCCACUGGAACGGCACCGUUCCGGGAAGGCGCCGCGCACCGGACGAUCCCGAGUCCGAAGACCUGCUGGCCCUGGUGGCGACCGC